rnacentral:rRNA from 1 species
UACGUAGGGUGCGAGCGUUAAUCGGAAUUACUGGGCGUAAAGCGUGCGCAGGCGGUUCGUUAAGUCAAACGUGAAAUCCCUCGGCUUAACCGGGGAACUGCGUCUGAUACUGGAUGGCUUGAGUUUGGGAGAGGGAUGCGGAAUUCCAGGUGUAGCGGUGAAAUGCGUAGAUAUCAGGAGGAACACCGGUGGCGAAGGCGGAUCUCUGGGCCUUACCUGACGCUCAGGCACGAAAGCUAGGGGAGCGAACAGG